UUACGACCACAGCACGUUGAAACAGCGGUUCCUGUACGAUCACUGAAUUUAAGCAACUUCAAGCCUGGUCAGUGCCUAGAUGGGUGACCGGUUGGGAAUACAAGGUGCUGUAAG